rnacentral:lncRNA from 13 species
AGGAGCCAUGAGUUGUCCCGACCAACUUCAUACUUGAGUGUGCACAUCUUGAGGAAUAAGCAAAUGACUUAAUAUGCCAAGCCUUGCUGUGCAGUGGAUCCCAUUGAAAAUGAAGAAGAUUGGAAGAAGGCUGUAUCCAACAUCAAUACACUUUUGGACAAAGCUGAUCGAGUGUAUCAUCAGCUGAUGGGACACCAGCCGCAGCUGGAGAAGCUGCUCUGCAAAGUGAAUCAGGCAGCUCCAGAAAAGCCACAGGAUGACUCAGGAACGUGCUUCAAGAAGAAUUCAUCUGGGCAUCAUCAGACUUUCAUCCCAUUAAUUGCUCUAUUUUACAUAUCACAGAAUAAAAGUGUACUCUUAACCAAUAGCUAA